UAGCCUAACGGCUGAACCAGCAACUUGGAGGAAUGUAUAGUAAUAGCUGAUUGCGCUAACAAAUAGUUGAUGCAAGAUUGACUCUGUCAAAUAAAAUUCUAGGCAGAAUUAUGAUAAUGACAUUGUCUGCCUAUAUGUCUUGACCAAAUUACGUGCCAGCUGUCGCGGUAAUACGUAGAAGACUAGUGUUAUUCAUCUUUAAUAGGUUUAAAGGGUACCUAGACGGUAAAUCAAGCCUUAGUCGGGACUAAUUUGCUAGAGUUACUUAUGAGGGGGUAUUAAAGUACUGAUGGUGUAGAGAUGAAAUUCUGUCAUACCUCUUUUCGAAAGAAAAAUUACGGCACAGGUAUAGGCGAAAGCAUCCCCUUAUGUGAUAACUGACGUUGAGGGACGAAGGCUUUGUGUAGCGAACAGGAUUAGAUACCCCAAUAGUCAAAGCAGAAAAUGAUGAAUGUCAUAGAUUAGAUUAAUAGUUUAUUCUAUAAAUGAAAGUGUAAGCAUUCCACCUUAAGAGUAAUUUGGCAACAUUGGAACUGAAAUCAUUAGACCGUUUCUGAAACCAGUAGUGAAGUAUGUUGUUUAAUUUGAUAAUCCGCAAAAAACCUUACCACAAUUUGAAUAUUUAUAUUUACCUUUUUCUGUUGAUUUACCUUUCUUUUUUUUUUUAGGUAGUAUAAAAAGAGAAAGAGAAAGAGAAAAAAUCAAAAGAAAAGAAAAAGGUAAGAUAUUUACAAGCGUUGCACGGCUGUCUUCAGUUAAUGUCGCGAGACUUUGGUUAGCUCCAUGAAAUUAACGUAAACCCUUACUUUAUUUUUAUAUAAAGUAGUUCACCGCUAUAUUGGAUCUGAUAACAGGGACUAGGACAAGUCAUCAUGGCCUAAAUAUUGUGGGCUAUAGACGUGCCACAUAAACCUUACAAAAGGAUGUGAAAUUGUGAAAUUGAGCUAAUCCCCCAAAAAUGGAUAAACAUUGUUAA
rnacentral:rRNA from 1 species